CGUGAGGCUGGAUUCGCUAGUAAUCGCGCAUCAGCCAUGGCGCGGUGAAUACGUUCCCGGGCCUUGUACACACCGCCCGUCACACCAUGGGAGCCGGUAAUACCCGAAGUCAGUAGUCCAACCUCGUGAGGACGCUGCCGAAGGUAGGAUUGGCGACUGGGGUGAAGUCGUAACAAGGUACC
rnacentral:rRNA from 1 species